GUGAAUCAUCAAAUUUUUGAACGCAAAUUGCACUCUCUUCGGAGAGUAUGCCUGUUUGAGGGUCAGCCUAAAAAAAAUCGACAUUGCUGCUGUUAUUUAAUGGUGACUUUCGUCGGAGAUUGGGUUAUCUUAAACCUUUUUUUUUUUUUGUUUUAAUCGACUUAAAAUUUUUCUUCACGAUUCCAUUAACUUUUCUAAGUUUUUUUUUUUUUUUCCGUUUAAGUUUUAUCGAUCUUUUUUUAGUCUUGACCUUCGCAUCGGUUCUCUUCC
rnacentral:misc_RNA from 1 species